rnacentral:tRNA from 4 species
GCGGAUGUGGCGAAACUGGUAGACGCACCAGAUUUAGGUUCUGGCACCGAGAGGUGUGGAGGUUCGAGUCCUCUCAUCCGCACCA